GCUCCAGCCCACUUAUUGUCACACUUCUUAUCAAACUCUCUGUACUGGUCUAUCUUGAUUAUCACGUCAAAAGUUUUUUCUCGUACUUAAUUGGCCUUUUAGAGUUGGUAAGACAACUUCCAUCCUUUCAUGCUCUCUGUAUGUGUAUAUAUAUC